rnacentral:rRNA from 1 species
GAUGAACGCUGGCGGCGUGCUUAACACAUGCAAGUCGAACGAUGAAGCCCAGCUUGCCGGGUGGAUUAGUGGCGAACGGGUGAGUAACACGUGAGUAACCUGCCCUUAACUCUGGGAUAAGCCUGGGAAACUGGGUCUAAUACCGGAUAGGAGCGUCCACCGCAUGGUGGGUGUUGGAAAGAUUUAUCGGUUUUGGAUGGACUCGCGGCCUAUCAGCUUGUUGGUGAGGUAAUGGCUCACCAAGGCGACGACGGGUAGCCGGCCUGAGAGGGUGACCGGCCACACUGGGACUGAGACACGGCCCAGACUCCUACGGGAGGCAGCAGUGGGGAAUAUUGCACAAUGGGCGCAAGCCCGAUGCAGCGACGCCGCGUGAGGGAUGACGGCCUUCGGGUUGUAAACCUCUUUCAGUAGGGAAGAAGCGAAAGUGACGGUACCUGCAGAAGAAGCACCGGCUAACUACGUG